CGAGUUGGCCGGGCGGCCGCGGCUCCUUGAGUCGAGGAAAGUCCGGACUUCACAGAGCAGGGUGAUUGCUAACGGCAAUCCGAGGUGACUCGCGGGACAGUGCCACAGAAAACAAACCGCCACCGACUCCUGUUGUUUUGGGCCGGUGGUAAGGGUGAAACGGUGCGGUAAGAGCGCACCAGCAUUCCGGGUGACCGGGAUGGCUCGGUAAACCCCACCCGAAGCAAGGCCAAGAGGCCGCACCUGGUGCGGCUGCGCAGGCGAUCGAGGGCUGCUCGCCCGAGCCUGCGGGUAGGCCGCUCGAGGCACCCGGCGACGGUGUGCCCAGAUGGAUGGUCGCCGCCGCCCUGCCGCGGUUACUCGGGGCAGGGCGGGACAGAAUCCGGCUUAUAGGCCAACUCGUUCG
rnacentral:RNase_P_RNA from 1 species